GGUCUGGGGGGCUACCGGCUAAGACGAAGCCGAUUCAGAUUGGAGCAAAUCGAACAUCGAUUUGAUCCUGUCGUACCGCGUAAGCAGCCAAGAUGGCGAUCCCCGAUUCGUGACGUCACAUGAAGUUCGGCAAGCCGAUUGAACGAAUGAUUUCAGUACUUUUGACACUAAAUCGCUACCGCGUAAAAAAUCGAAGUUCGGCGCCUGAAGCCGAUUCCCAUUGGAAGUGUCAGUUGAAGCCGGGCACUUUUCAGUAACCGUGAUCAAUUUUAAUUUCUUAUUUUCACUGUUUUUCAACAAUAUUAGGAGCUAUUUACGGUGGGCGACAAAUUUUAGGAACAUCUUAAUCAAUAUAAAAUUGAUAUCGGCGUGGAUUUUCGUGUUUAAAUACCUAAAUACAGUGUCAUGGAGAUAGUCGUUUUAUGGGCUGCUGCGGAAGAAAAUGUCUUCAGAAUCUUGAGCAAAUCGAUUGCAGGAUACUUCGAGAGAAAAGCCAGUAUAUACUUCUCACAGGUACAUCUAUUUAUAACAUUAUUUCUAACAAGUGGCUCAAUGUUUACAGAGGAAAAGUUGCUGAACUUACUAGAAGCGAUUUUUGAUCAUUUCAUACUUAUCUAGUUUGUUUUGUUUCAGAGAGUAGCUACAUUAAUAAUUUUAGAUUAUCAAAAGAUGCAUUUCGGACUUUGUAUCAUGACUUAGGACCAUAUCUGGAGGUCCAAUGCUCUACAACUGUGCAAUCGACUUUAAGUGACAAAUGCUCUCAAACAGCCUGCCAUCGUGAGAUAAUAUAUCAAGUUUCCUCGGACAAAAACUGAGCAUGUAGAAGUCUCCAGAGGUUUUAAUGACAAAUUUGGAUUUCUUGGAGUACUUGGAUGCAUCCACGGCACACACAUUGCCAUUAUCCAACCUCACAAGUGGGAAGAGGCCUUCUUCAAUAGCAAGUAUUACCAUUCAUUGCAUGAUAUGUUGGUUUGUGAUGGAGAUAUGUGCAUUACAUUUGUGAUGCAUCCAAUGGGAGUGUUAGUGCUAGACUGCUAGCCAAGAUAACCAUAUUUGGAACAACAGCACUUUGAGAAGGGAAAAGGAACAUCUCCUUAAUUUAAAUAUGUUUAAGUUCAUUAAGUGGACUUGUGUGGUCCUUGAAAUGUAAAUUACUAAGUCAGUGUGGUGUAAUCAAAAGUGGCAGAUUUGUUAUUCAAUAAUACAACAUCUAAACAAACCUUUCUUUAUUGGCAUCAAAUAAACUAUUUUCAUUACGCAGAUUUAUUUAUUUUGUGUUAUUACAUAAUUUGUUUCAUUGCACCCCUCUCAUUAACCAACCUAUCUCUCAAGUAGAUACAUUUUUCUAAUCUUGUGUCCAUUGUGCUUAAUAAAGUAGUUUAUCCAUCUAUCUUUAACUUGUAAUAAAUAAAUCCAUUUAUUUUGUAUAAAUACAAGCUUGCGGGGCCUUAUGGGGACUAGACUAUUUGUAAUGUGUAAUAGUAUAAUCAAAAAAGCCCUGCGGGUGGAUCAAAGAAAUGUAAUCAAUUAGAACAUACUACAAAUAUAAUAUUGUUCCCAAUUCUUACUAUAAUAUGGAAAUAUAAGUUAAUUGCAUCCAACAUCUUCAUCAAUACACCUAUACAAAUCUUUUUAUUAGAUAGUAGUUGGCAAGUGGGUGUAUAAAUAUACUAUACACCUCUGCCUACCCCUUCGGGAAUAGAAGCGUGAUGCUAUAUUAUUUUUGUUUCAAAA